rnacentral:rRNA from 1 species
GACGAACGCUGGCGGCGUGCUUAACACAUGCAAGUCGAACGGAAAGGCCCUGCUCUUGUGGGGUGCUCGAUUGGCGAACGGGUGAGUAACACGUGAGUAACCUGCCCUUGACUUUGGGAUAACUUCAGGAAACUGCGGCUAAUACCGGAUAGAAGCUCCUGCUGCAUGGUGUUGGUUGGAAAGUUUCGGCGGUUGGGGAUGGACUGGCGGGUUAUCAGCUUGUUGGUGGGGUAGUUGCUUACCAAGGUUUUGACGGGUAGCCGGCCUGAGAGGUUGACCGGCGACAUUGGGACUGAGAGACGGCGCAGACGCCUACGGGAGGCAGCAGUGGGGAAUAUUGCAGAAUGGGCGGAAGCCUGAUGCGGCAACGCCGCGUGCGGGAUAACGGCCUUCGGGUUGUAAACCGCUUUCGACUGUGACGAAGCGUGCGUGACGGUAAUGGGUAAGGAAGCACCGGCUAACUACGUG